rnacentral:rRNA from 1 species
AUUGAACGCUGGCGGCAUGCUUUACACAUGCAAGUCGAACGGUAACAGGCCGCAAGGUGCUGACGAGUGGCGAACGGGUGAGUAAUGCAUCGGAACGUGCCAGUCGUGGGGGAUAACGCAGCGAAAGCUGCGCUAAUACCGCAUACGAUCUAUGGAUGAAAGCGGGGGACCGUAAGGCCUCGCGCGAUUGGAGCGGCCGAUGUCAGAUUAGGUAGUUGGUGGGGUAAAGGCUCACCAAGCCAACGAUCUGUAGCUGGUCUGAGAGGACGACCAGCCACACGGGGACUGAGACACGGCCCAGACUCCUACGGGAGGCAGCAGUGGGGAAUUUUGGACAAUGGGCGCAAGCCUGAUCCAGCAAUGCCGCGUGCAGGAAGAAGGCCUUCGGGUUGUAAACUGCUUUUGUACGGAACGAAACGGUCCUGGUUAAUACCUGGGGCUAAUGACGGUACCGUAAGAAUAAGCACCGGCUAACUACGUGCCAGCCGCCGCCGUAAUAC